rnacentral:lncRNA from 1 species
AUGUGUUUUCCUUUCAGGGGCGGUUGACAUUCAGGGAUGUGGCCAUAGAAUUCUCUCAGGAGGAGUGGGAGUGCCUGGACCCUGCUCAGAGGGCCUUGUACAGGGAGGUGAUGUUGGAGAACUACAGGAACCUGGUCUCCCUG